AAUGCGUUUUGAGAUGGUCCUGCGGCCUAUCAGCUAGCUUGGCGGGAUAACAGCCCACCAAGGCUAUGACGGGUAUCCGGCCUGAAAGGGUGAACGGACACACUGGAACUGAGACGCGGUCCAGACUCCUACGGGAGGCAGCAGUGGGGAGUUUUGGACAAUGGGGGCAACCCUGAUCCAGCGACGCCUCGUGGAGGACGAAGGUCUUCGGAUUGUAAACUCCUUUUAGAGGGGAAGAAAAAAAUGACGGUACCCUCAGAAAAAGCCACGGCUAACUACGUGCCAGCAGCCGCGGUAAUACGUAGGUGGCGAGCGUUACUCGGAAUUACUAGGCGUAAAGCGCAUGUAGGCGGUUGAAUAAGUCCUCAGUGGAAUUUCUCUGCUUAACAGAGAAUGGUCUGAGGAUACUGUUUGACUUGAGUGUUGGAGGGGGAGACGGAAUUCCUGGUGUAGCGGUGGAAUGCGUAGAUAUCAGGAGGAACACCGAUGGCGAAAGCAGUUUCCUGGCCAAAUACUGACGCUAAUGUACGAAAGCUAGGGUAGCAAACAGGAUUAGAUACCCUGGUAGUCCUAGCUGUAAACGAUGUUCACUAGAUAUGGGAGGUAUCGACCCCUUCCGCGUCGACGCUAACGCAUUAAGUGAACCGCCUGGGGAGUACGGCCGCAAGGUUGAAACUCAAAGGAAUUGACGGGGACUCGCACAAGCGGUGGGCUAUGUGGUUUAAUUCGAUGUACCGCGAAAAACCUUACCUGGGCUUGAACUGCUAAUGGUAAAAGCUGGAAACAGUGAUGACCCGCAAGGGAGUUAGCAGAGGUGCUGCAUGGCUAUCGUCAGCUCGUGUCGUGAGAUGUUGGGUUAAGUCCCGCAACGAGCGCAACCCUUAUCCCAUGUUACCUGUAGCGAUACAGGGUCUCUGAGGAAACUGCCAUUGAUGAAAUGGAGGAAGGUGGGGACGAAGUUAAGUCAUCAUGGCCUUUAUGUCCAGGGCUACACACGUAGUACAAUGGCCGGUACAGAGGGUAGCAAUAUCGCAAGGUGGAGCCAAUCCCUAAAAGCCGGCCUCAGUUCGGAUUGUGGGCUGCAAUUCGUCCACAUGAAGUAGGAAUC
rnacentral:rRNA from 1 species